CCUGGAGUCGGACCUGAGGCCUGGCAGGAGUAACUGGCUGGAGAGGUUUCUUUGGUGACAGCUGUUUGAAGGGGCCCCUGGGGCAGGCUCCAGCGAGCCAAAUCUGAACCCUGGACACCUGGGUCCUUUAAACAGCUUGUGCGCUACAGGGUUGCCCUGUGAGUCCGGGGCCUGCAGAGCUGCACUGCAAAUGAGAACUGAGAUGUUCUGGCCGGGUGGCAUACCAAAGGGAGUAGUAGUCAUGGAUGGCGAUAGUACCCGUCUCCCUUCCAUCUUUGUCUUCCUGGGUUUGAGCCUGGGGACCAUAGCUCAGGUUGGGGGAUUGUGCACGGAGCACUUUGCUUAGGUUGGGGGGUUGUGCACGGAGCACUUUGCUUAGGUUGGGGGGUUGUGCACGGAGCGCUUUGCUACCUUGCAGUCACACCCAAAAAACAGAUAGUAGGUUGCCUCCUGAGAUACAAACACCUGGCAUGUCACCCCCAAGCCCCACGUGAUCUGCAUCCUGUCUAGCCUUUGGAGUGCACUGUCACUGUGGCUUUGCUUCCCUCGUUGUCUCCCAAAAUCCCCUUUUCAGACAGAGCAGGAGAACACUGUGGCCCCUUGGACCUCUUAUGAACAGAGUUUUUCAGGUUCACACAAAACAGAGGUGUAAGGAGAGGAAUUAUAGAGCAAAUGCUAAAAACUCCAUGAACAACCCACUCUGAGUGUUGUUCUAGGUUCUUCUGUACCAUGGGAUGAAAACAGAACUCUAAGGUAACUGGCUAGAGAGGCUGCCCUCCUGGGUGCAUUAAUUAGGAGAUUAUGCCACCCUUAGUCUCCCUGGGCCAGUCAUGCUAGUGGUUUAUUUAUAAUUUAUCUGGGAGGGUAGCACGGGGCUAGAGGAGGGAGGGGAAGCGUAGAAGCAUAAGGACUACAAAGCAACACACCAGCACACACCUCCGAGCCCUUUCUGGAACUCAAGAAGAGAGGAAGGGAUUUUAACUUUCUCCUUGUUGUGGUGUUAGGGAGAGGUGGGGAGCAAGAGCAGCAAAGGAAGAAGUGGGUAGAACCUACAGGAAUAGGGACACAGGGUGAGUAGUGGACAAAGGAUAUAUGGAUAAAUAAAAUGUGGAUAUUUUUAGUCACAGGCAGGAGGCUGUGACUACCCAAACGCUCUCUUACUGGUUUAUAUGGACAGAUCACUGUGGAAAUGAGAGUAUGGGUAUGGGCAGAUGGAGAUAUUGCAGAAGGGAAUUUGAGGCCCAGAGACAGGCUGGAUCCCCUGGAGAAAUGAGGGUAGAAGAGCGCACAAUAGGCAUCUGGCAGCCCUCUGUAGGAAGGAGAAACUUCCCUGAAAGGAGGUGUCCCCACAUCAUGGUAUCUGAAAAGAGCUGCCUCCUCACCCCCCAUUGUGGAACACAAGUUUCAUUCUUAGUACUCAGAGUAAGUAUGGGAGAGGGCUUGGGUAAGUAAAUGGGGCCCAGUCUUGAUGUCGAGAGCAUUUAACGAGGGAAACUGGAAGCCUUGCAGAACGGGGGAGAAUGGCCCGCUUGCCACAAUGAGUGCAGCAAGAGGGUGGGCCAGGGAGCUGAAGGGAAGGUUGGAAAAAGAAAACACCUACUUCAAAGGUGACAGGGAGCUUUUGACAGGACCUGAUGUCUUUGAUGCCAAAAACUCCAGUCCUAAGAUGAGGAGAGUUAAAUGUGGAAUGCUAGUGGGUCUACAGAGUCAGCCAGGAGCUAGCGGAAGACUUGUCUGCAUCCCUGGUGCUCUGCUCAGGAGCAGGGGGAUUGUAAUUCCCUGAGGCAAGCUCUUGCCUUCCCUGAACUCAUUUCUUUGUACCAGUUCUCCAGUCCCUUGGAUCCUAGAGAAGGGGAGAGCCAUCUGGCCAGGCCUUCCUCUAGGAAAAUGAGAUGAGAAGGGUAAUGCAGAGAUGGCAUGAGGUUCAUCCCACUCACUACUGGUUAGUAAAGGGCCCUUUCUACAAGGAAGUCCAAGUUUCUUUUCAACUCGUCCCACUUCCAUAGGUCUUGGACCCAUGCAAAAAAGGUACAUGAGCAGAGGGAGACAUUAUCCUUGGCCUGGGGUUAGGGCAGCAAGGCAGUGGUGCUGGGACAUUGGUUUUCACUCAGGUCCUGAAUCUCUGGGAGUCAGGAAAAGGGAAAAGUGACAGGCUGAUGGGUUAGGUUUUCUGAGGGCCAAAGGGUUUUAAGAUUGGGCUCUUUCCUGGCCAGGCGCAGUGGCUCACGCCUGUAAUCCCAGCACUUUGGGAGGCCGAGGCGGGCGGAUCACCUGAGUUUGGGCGUUCGAGACCAGCCUGACCAAUAUGGAGAAACCCCGUCUCUACUAAAAAUACAAAAUUAGCCGGGCAUGGUGGCACAUGCCUGUAAUCCCAGCUACCCGGGAGGCUGAGGCAGGAAAAUCACUUGAACCUGGGAGGCUGAGGUUGCAGUGAGCCGAGAUCGCGCCAUGGCACUCCAGCCUGGGCAACAAGAG
rnacentral:lncRNA from 1 species